AAACAAAAACAAAUUAAAAAAGAAAUGGUGAAGCACCACAUCAGGGGAAGCUGUUUGCAAGACAAUUUAGACAGAAUUAAAGACUUCCAUCAUGAGGGCUACGCUGAGGCCAUUCGGGGGGACAGGGGCGGCAUUUUACGGGAGAGUCUAGUUACCAUGUGCGACCCCAGAAGACACACUCCGAUGAACACACCAGCCCAGGACCCUGACACCACGGCUCUGUGAACCUGAAAAGCUCACAAAGGAAGCAGUCGGUCCAGUUGGAGGAUUCACACGUUAUGACACGCAGAUCAUUCUUCUGGGAGGAUUUUGUUCCAAUCCUUCUGGAGGAGGAGAUGACAAUACUUGAUAGUUCUUACUACGCACCAGGUUGCAAAGAGUUGGACAUGACUGAGUAGCUGAACAACAACAAGAGAUGUAUAGCAGCUACCCUGGUUUAGCAGUGCUCAAUGAAAAUACACGUGAGGGUUUCACAUUUGUGUUGUCCCCAGUUACCAAGGUUUCAUGUCUACGCUGUCUCCAGUUACCCAGGACACUGC